rnacentral:rRNA from 1 species
GGGGGAUAUUGCACAAUGGGGGAAACCCUGAUGCAGCGACGCCGCGUGGAGGAAGAAGGUUUUCGGAUUGUAAACUCCUGUCGUUAGGGACGAUAAUGACGGUACCUAACAAGAAAGCACCGGCUAACUACGUGCCAGCAGCCGCGGUAAAACGUAGGGUGCAAGCGUUGUCCGGAAUUACUGGGUGUAAAGGGAGCGUAGACGGUUUUGCAAGUCUGAAGUGAAAGCCCGGGGCUUAACCCCGGGACUGCUUUGGAAACUGUAGGACUAGAGUGCAGGAGAGGUAAGUGGAAUUCCUAGUGUAGCGGUGAAAUGCGUAGAUAUUAGGAGGAACACCAGUGGCGAAGGCGGCUUACUGGACUGUAACUGACGUUGAGGCUCGAAAGCGUGGGGAGCAAACAGGAUUAGAUACCCUGGUAGUCCACACAGUAAACGAUGAAUACUCGCUGUUUGCGAUAUACAGUAAGCGGCCAAGCGAAAGCAUUAAGUAUUCCACCUGGGGAGUACGCCGGCAACGGUGAAACUCAAAGGAAUUGACGGGGGCCCGCACAAGCGGAGGAACAUGUGGUUUAAUUCGACGCAACGCGAAGAACCUUACCAAGUCUUGACAUCCUGCGACGAUGCUGGAAACAGUAUUUUCCUUCGGGACGCAGAGACAGGUGGUGCAUGGUUGUCGUCAGCUCGUGUCGUGAGAUGUUGGGUUAAGUCCCGCAACGAGCGCAACCCUUACUGUCAGUUACUACGCAAGAGGACUCUGGCAGGACUGCCGUUGACAAAACGGAGGAAGGUGGGGAUGACGUCAAAUCAUCAUGCCCCUUAUGAUUUGGGCUACACACGUGCUACAAUGGCGUAAACAAAGGGAAGCGAGAUUGUGAGAUGGAGCAAAUCCCAAAAAUAACGUCCCAGUUCGGACUGUAGUCUGCAACCCGACUACACGAAGCUGGAAUCGCUAGUAAUCGCGGAUCAGAAUGCCGCGGUGAAUACGUUCCCG